UACGGAGGGUGCAAGCGUUAUCCGGAUUCACUGGGUUUAAAGGGUGCGUAGGCGGAUAGGUAAGUCCGUGGUGAAAUCCUGCAGCUUAACUGCAGAACUGCCGUGGAUACUAUCUAUCUUGAAUAUCGUGGAGGUUAGCGGAAUAUGUCAUGUAGCGGUGAAAUGCUUAGAUAUGACAUAGAACACCAAUUGCGAAGGCAGCUGGCUACGCAUAUAUUGACACUGAGGCACGAAAGCGUGGGGAUCAAACAGG
rnacentral:rRNA from 1 species